GAUCCUCCGUCCUCAGCCUCCUGAGUAAAGGGGACUACAGGCAUGCAUCGCCAUGCCUGGCUAAAUUUUUUUAUUUUUUGUAGAAAUGAGGUCUUGCUCUGUUGUCCUGGCUGAUCUCAAACUCCUGGCCUCAAACAAUCCUCCUGCUUUGACCUCCUUUGGAUUACAGGUGUGAGCCAUGGCACCCAGCCUGGUUCUCUUUUUCUGACCGCUUCUCUCUCUCAAUGAGUUAUUAAGCCAAGUCAUGCAUGACUAUUUUCUGAAUCACAAAACGAACACAGAUAAGAUGAAAGUGCCUCUGAUCUCUACUCCAAUCCUAGCCCUCUGGUCCUUCUCAGAGGUAAUCAGAUGCCAAUGCCACACCACAGCCUCACCAGAGCUUGAUAACAUCAAACCUAUCAUUUGUUGUCGGUCUGGUGGGUGAAAAGUGUUUUUUGUUGUCUUCUUUUGUAGCAUAGUAUAGUAGUUAGGAGUAUGGAAUUUGAAUGCGGGUUGCCUGGGGUCUAAUCCUGGCCCUGGAGUAGCCAGAGGAGGAGCAACUGUGUGGACAACUGAACCUGGCUGAAAGUCAGCUUCGCGGUGUCUGGACCAGGAAUGAUGGCAGAAGUUAUGUUCCAGGGUGGUCGUGAGGAUCGCUGCAUGAACUAGAGCGUGCUAAGUGCUCAGAGCAGGCUGGCCGGCACAAGCGUUCUGCAGGGGUUUGUUUUUAUCAUUGCCGCUAUCAUUUCCCCAAUCACUUAGGACUCUGGGCACCCCCACCCCCCACCUUCACUUUCAGUUCAGUGUUGACAGUUUCCCACGUUUCCCAGUCUCCCAGCACUAAGGCUGGGAAAUAACCGGGAAGCAGUGAAUUCCUGGUUCUGUUUCUGCCUCUUACAGUGAGAGGUGACAGCGUACUGGCAGCCCUGCAGCCCUUGCUCGCUCUCGGCGCCUCCUCGGCCUUGGCGCCCACUUUGGCCGCACUUGAGGAGCCCUUCAGCCCGCCGCUGCACUGUAGGAGCCCCUUUCUGGGCUGGCCAAGGCCGGAGCCGGCUCCCUCAGCUUGCAGGGAGGUGUGGAGGGAGAGACGCAGGUGGGAACCUGGGCUGCGCGCGGUGCUUGCGGGCCAGCGCGAGUUCCGGGUGGGCGCGGGCUCGGCAGUCCCCGCACUCGGAGCCGCCGGCCAGCCUGCAAGCCCCGGGCAGUGAGGGGCUUAGCACCUGGGCCAGCAGCUGCUGUGUUCGACUACUCGCCAUGCCUUAGCUGCCUCCCCGCGGGGCAGGGCUCGGGACCUGCAGCCCGCCAUGCCUGAGCCUCCCCUCCCGGCCGUGGGCUCCUGCGCAGCCCGAGCCUCCCCGACGAGCGCUGCCCCCUGCUCCACGGGGCCCAGUCCCAUCGACCACCCAAGGGCUGAGGAGUGUGGGCACACGGCGCAGGACUGGCAAGCAGCUCCACCUGCGGCCCAGUACGGGAUCCACUGGGUGAAGCCAACUGGGCUCCUGAGUCUGGUGGGGACUUGGAGAACCUUUAUGUCUAGCUAAGGGAUUGUAAAUACACCAAUCGGCACUCUGUAUCCAGCUCAAGGUUUGUAAACACAACAGUCAGCACUCUGUGUCUAGCUCAGGGUUUGUGAAUGCACCAAUCGACACUCUGUAUCUAGUUACUCUGGUGGGGACUUGGAGAACCUUUGUGUCCACACUCUGUAUCUAGCUAAUCUAGUGGGGACGUGAACUUUUGCGUCUAGCUCAGGGAUUGUAAACGCACCAAUCAGCACCCUGUCAAAACGGACCAAUCAGCUCUCUGUAAAACAGACCAAUUGGCUCUCUGUAAAGUGGACCAGUCAGCAGGAUGUGGGUAGGGCCAGACAAGAGAAUAAAAGCAGGCUGCCGGAGCUGGCAGUAGCAAUUGGCUGGGGUGUUUUUCCGCUCUGUGGGAGAUUUGUUCUUUCGCUUUUUGGGUCCACGCUGCGUUUGUGAGCUGUAACACCGUGAAGGUCUGCAGCUUCACUCCUGAAGUCAGGCGAGAAGACUACGAACCCACCUGGAGGAACGAACAACUCCAGACUCGCCGCAUUAAGAGCGGUAACACCGCGAAGGUCUGCAGCUUCACUCCUGAGCCAGCGAGAUCACGAACCCACCGGAAGGCUGUAACAUAUCUGAACAUCAGAAGGAACAAACUCCGGACAGGCCGCCUUCAGGAACUGUAACACUCACCGCGAGGGUCCGUAGCUUCAUUCUUGAAGUCAGUGAGACCAAGAGCCCACCAAUUCCGGACACAACAGGACACACUGCGGCUUCUCCUGGCUUUUUCAAAGUUCAGCCCAAGAGGAAGAGAGACCUAAUUAAUACCCAGGAGAUGGUGGUGUUUAUUUUUUCCAGCUGGGACAACUAAGGCCCCGAGAGGAGAAAGGGACUAUCCGGGGUACAGAGGCCACUGAGUCAGAGCUAGGACCAACAUAUCACCAGCUCUCCCUCUUCAGCGCAGACCCCAACUCACCAGCGGUGGCUUCCUGAAGAGCUGGGUUAAGGAGGAUUCUGAGGUGCAGCAGAGCUCGCUAAGAGGCUGACGGGUAAGGGGUGCUGCGCUGUGAGCACAGGAGCCAGUGACACAGAUCAGAUGCUGCUGCUGUCGUGGCUGCCACCACAAGAAACAAGAGUGUUGGAGUGCAAAUUCAUUAUCCAGCUGUUAAGAGCGACAGAGCAUGCACACAUCUCUCCCCGACCGGGUUAUCUGAGAGCCAGCCCUGCUGUAUGAUUGAGUGGCUGCCAGCCUCCUCUUCUCUGUAACCUUGACACGCCAGAGCCGGGCCUCCAGUGCACAGGCUAAAAAUCCUAAAGGCAACGGCGGCGGCAACAAAUAGAUGGGUUAAUUUGUUUCAUGCCCCCGUUGUCACCAGGCUCUCGCAGAAUAAAACCACCACCACCACCACCACAACCUCCAUUUGUGGGGUUUAAUACCCCAGCUGCUGGGAAUCAGAUUCAGCCGGAGGAAGAAAAUGUGACGUCGAUGCAGAGAUCCAUUUAUUCGGGCCUCCUCUUCUCAUCAGCAGGCAGGGACAGUGCAUCGACCCAGAGGCCUGGGAGAGGCAGGAAUAAUGAUGCGCCAGAGAGAAUUCUGGCUUCGGGAGAAUCAGAGACUUAACAAAUAUAAUGCUGACAAUAUGACCAUUAUGACACAAGAAACUAUUUGUAUCCAUUGUCCUUUCCUCGCCUGAAAUAACCUAUUGCUUCCUACUCGGUGAUGACAUUUUUCAGGCACCAAGAGUUGCCCGUGGAACAAGAAGUACAUAAACUUCCUUGCUUUGUAGAAAACAGAUUCCGUUUUAUAAGUGGUUUAGUAUUUAGACACUACCUCCAAAGGUUGGGAAGGCCCUUACAAAGCAACAGGAGUCGGCCAGAAUGAAAAGAAUCAGCCGAUGGCUGGGAGGCGGAGGCUUCAGUGAGCCGAGAUCGCACCACUGCACUCCAGCCUGGGCGACAAAAGUGAGACUCCAUCUCAAAAAAAUAAAAAUAAAAAAAUAAAAAUAAAUAAAGGAAUGAUAGACUUGCCAAUCUGCCUUGGAGAAGCAACAGACGGCUAAAUCGUAGGGUUCCUGGCAUUGCAUUUGCCCACAUUUGCCAGCAGAUGGCGACGUGAUCCUGCAAUGUUGCAUUAGUGCAACCCCGGGCAAUGAAAGGUCAGGGACAGGGCACCUGAAGCUGGCUACUUGGAGACUUGGGAACCUCAUCUAUUGCUUUGCAGAGGUCCGAACACCACUAAACACAUUUGGGAGGGAGGAACAGAGGAAGGUCGACCAAUGACGUGUUUAAAACAGCUGCAAGGAUCGGAUGAAAUUUGCAAUUGGCUUGAGCUUGAACUCCAGAUAAUCUCCAGAAUAAAGACAUGGGGGUGGGAGUUAAAACAAAGAACUUGAUGCAAAUUAGGGUCAAACAAUGAUCCCCUUAUGGCACAUCCAUUCCAAGGAAUAUCUUCAGUCAUUAGAAAACCAAGUGGUGGUCUGAGCACGGUGGCUCAUGCCUGUAAUCCCAGGGCUUUGAGAGGCUGAGGCAGGCAGAUCACUUGAGGCUGAUUCAAAACCAGCCUGGCCAACAUGGCAAAACCCCAUCUUUACUAAAAACACAAAAAUUAGCCGGGCAUGGUGGCAUGCACCUGUAAUCCCAGCUACUCUGGAGGCUGAGGCAGGAGAAUCUCUUGAACCUCAGAGGCAGAGGUUGCAGUGAGCUGAGACCACACCACUGCACUCCAGCCUGGGUGACCCAGUGAGACUCUGUCUCAAAAAAAGAAAAAAAGAAAAAAAAAUUAGACAAAUUGAACUUCAUCAAAAUUAAACUUCUAUGCUUCCAAGAACGCCAUCAAAAAAGUGAAAAAAACCAACCACAGAAAGGGAGGAAAUAUUUGCAAAUCUGAUCUAGAAUAUAUAAAGAAUUCUAACAACUCAAAAAUGAAAAGACAUAAAAGCUAAUUUUAAAAUGGGCAAAGGAUUUAGAUACAUCUCUCUCCAGAGAAGAUACACAAAUGGCCAAUAAGCACAUGAAAAGAUGUUCAACAUCAUCAGCCAUCAGAGAUGUGCAAGUCAAAACCAUCCUGCGAUAGACCCCACUUUACAUCCACUAGGAUGGCUAUAAUUUUAAAAAGCAGACAAUGACAAGUGUUGGCAAGGAUGUGAUGAGAAAUUGGAAUCCUUGUACAUUGUGGGUGGAAAUGCAAAAUGGUAUAGCUGCUUUGGCAAACAGUCUAGUAGUUCCUCAAAAGGGGAAACACUGAUCAAAUUUGACCCAGCAAUUCCACUCUUUCAUAUCCCAAGAAAACUAAAAACAUAAUUCAUGUCCACGAAAAACUUGGACAUGAAUUUUAAAGCAGCAUUAUUGGCCAGGUGUAGUGGCUCACGCUUGUAAUUCUAGCACUUUGGGAGGCCAAGGCGGGCAGAUCACUUGAGGUCAGGAGUUCAAGACCAGCCUGGCCAACAUGGCGAAACCCUGUCUUUACUAAAAAAAAAAAAAAUACAAAAAUUAGCCAGGCAUGGUGGCACAUGCCUGUAAUCCCACUAUUUGGGAGGCUGAGGCAGGAGAUAACUUGAACCCGGGAGGCAGAGGUGGCAGUGAGCCAAGAUCGCACCACUGCACUCCAGCCUGGGCAAUAGAGCGAGACUGUCUCAAAAAAAAAAAAAAAAAGAAAUAAAGAAAAGAACAGAAAAAAAUCAUUAUUCAUGAGAGCCAAAAGCGGAAACAAUCCAGAUGUCCAUCAACAGAUGAGUAUUUUAACAAAAUGUGGUAUAGCCACACAAUGGAAUACUAUUCGGUCAUACAAAGGGAUGGAGUACUGGUCCAUGCUACAACAUGAUUGAACCUUGAAAACAUCAUUUUAAGUGAAGGAAGCCAGACACAAAAGACUCUACUAAAAAGACCCUGUCUCCACUAAAAAUACAAAAAUUAGCCGGGCAUGGUGGCAUGUGCCUGUAGUCCCAGCAACUCGGGAGGUUGAGGCAGGAGAAUCACCCAAACCCGGGAGGUGGAGGUUGCAGUGAGCUGAGAUUGUGCCACUGCACUCCAGCCUGGCUGACAAGAGCGGAACUCCAUCUCAAUCAAUCAAUCAAUCAAUCAAUCAAUAAAAUUGAUAGUGGUAAUGGAUGCACAACUCUGUGAAUAAAGUCAUUGACUUGUAUACUUCAAAUGGGUGAAUUGUAAGUAAAUUAUAUCUCAAUAAAGCUGUUACCAAAAAAUCAAAUGCUAGACUAUUUAACAUGGAAAACCAUUCCCAUUACAUUGUUAGGUGAAGAAAGGGAGAGAGAGAGAAUGGGGCCCCAGGGCUGCUGGGUUCCAUAGCUCCCUGUGAAUGAUGGCCCUUGGAGAUGCAGAAUGAAAUGUGGGAUUUCACCCCUCUCCAUGAUCCAUGCAUGCGUGGUGGAAAUUGACUCUGGCUGCCCAACUCCGCAGUGGCGUGCAACUCACUUUCUCUCCAACUCAUCCUUCAAAGCCCUUUAAGGGAUAUUUGGUUACAACAUGGUAAAAUAUAAUGAGAUUCCAAUUUUUGUUUCUAUUAAAUAUAUUAAUAUAUAAGCGCAUGUGUGCAUGAAAAUAGAUACACAUCAAAGGAUAACAGUGGUUGUCUACAGGUAGAAAGGUUAUGGAGCUUUUAUUUUCUCCUUCAUAUUUGUAUUGCUCUAAUUUUCUGUAAUGCAGUGUAUUAAUUUGCAAUUAGAAAAAUAUAUAUAUGUAUUUUAAAAUGUGUCUAUAACCCCAACACUUUGGGAGGCCAAGGUGGGCAGAUUGCUAGAGUCUAGGAGUUCAAGACCACUUUGAGCAACAUGGCAAAACCCCGUCUCUACAAAAAUACAAAAAAUUAGCCGGGCAUGGUGGUGUGCACUUGUAGUCCCAGAUACUCCGGAGGCUGAGGUGGGAGGAUCACUUGAGCCUGGGAGGUUGAGGCUGCAGUGAACCGUGAUCACACCAGUGUACUCCAGCCUGAGUGACAGAGCAAGACCCUGUCUCAAAAAAAAAAAAAAUUAAAAGAUAAAAAUAAAAACAUAUUGUUUUAUUCUGUAAGUCUUCUCUGCCUGCCUCACUCACAUAGUAACACUCCUUUUAUCCUCACAUUUAUAACCCUGUUUAACAGGUAGUGGCAUAAUUGCUUAUCUUCUCCAACAGACAUCUGAAGACAGAUAUCAUUCCUAAUUUAUCAUUCCAUCCAAAACCCAGAAAUGCCUGCCUUUGAUAUGCCUGGUGAACAUAGUACGCAUUACCAAAUACUAAGCAGUAUCUUCUGUGUGAAGCCUACAUUAAAAUUUUAUUCAAGACUUUGUACCCUUUGAGGAGACAGUAAUACAGUCCCUUCAAUGCUUUAUAUUAUCAUGAAGGAUUAUUUCCCUUUUUGCCCUUGCUGCCAGGAAGCUUACUUGCAUCAACUGUGUUGCUGGCUUACAGUUGCACAUCUGAUUCUAACUUUCUUCCUUGAGUCUAAUGUGUGGCAUUUCCUCAACUUCUUUUUGAAAAUAAACCAGCUACACUCAGUGUAGCUCUAUGCAUGAGGUAGGAAUAAAUAAAUAAAUAGUGGCUACUCUGUUGAGGAUAAAAUAUUUUCUUUGGAAAUCCAAAGUGGUAUUUUAUCCUAAGAGGGAUGGUAGCAUCAACAUCUAAGGGUGCUCAGGCACAAUGUGUCCAGAACCAGAGGCUUGGAGCAACUCAGUUUUAAGCCCCGGAAGGGAUGAAGCAUCUUCCAGUUCUGUAUACUCCCCAAGUACCUACACAGAGCUGGGCGAAGAGUAAGCACCCUUUAAAUACCUGCUGCGUGAAUACUCAGGGCUCAAAAUUCCGUAUCCUUGCCAUGCAAGGGGUCACAAAGUUUAACCCAGGGUUUCUCAGCCUUAGCACUUCUGACACUCAGGCCAGUGAGUUCUUUGUUGUGGGCUGGUUGUCCUGGGUGUUGUGGGAUGUUGAACAACAUCCUUGGCCUCUACCCACCAGAUGCCAGUAGCACCCCUGCACAUAAAUUUUUUGACAAUCAAAAAUGUCUUCGAACAUUGCCAAAUAUCCCCUGGGGGCAAAAUCUCCCUCUGGUUAAACAGCAUGGGUUUUUGCCAGGUGUGGUGGCAUGGGCCUGUAGUCCCGGCUACUUGGGAGGCUGAGGUGGGAGGAUCACCUGAGAUCAGGGAUUGGAGACCAGCCUGGGCAACACAGCAAGAUCCCAUCUCUAAAAAAAAAAAAAUUAAAAAUUAGUCAGGCAUGGUGGCUCAUGCCUGUAGUCCCAGCUACUCAGGUGACUAAGAUGGGAGGAUCACUUGAGCCCAGGAGUUCGAGGCUGCAGUGAGCAGUGAUUGUGCCACUGCACUCCAGCCUGGGCCACAAAGCAAAACUUUGUCUCAAAACAAACAAACAAAGAAACAAAAACAACAACAAAAUGUCUUCAAACAUUGCUUGAAGUGGGUGGUGUAAAAUCUCCCACUGAUUAAACAGCACUGGUUUCAAGCAACACCUUCCAGGUCCUAGAAGCCACCAACUACAAUUCUAGAAUACCAGGGCUGGAAGGACCCCAUGCAUUAUCCUGUUGACAUCCUUUCAUAGACAGGCCAAUGGGCCCAGAAAUAAGAGACUGAGGCACAGCCCCUGCCCACAGGAAACAACAAAGGGUGAUCAAAACGUGCCAAGGCAACGCGCUGCCCCGGCCCUGCUUGCACGCAGAUUGGAGUUGCAGGUGGCUCCUCCAUGUCAUGGUGUAAACUUGUGCUAAAAUUAACCUGAGCGUCUGAGACUUCCUCUAUAAAAUGACAAAAAAGAACACCUGGC
rnacentral:lncRNA from 10 species